AGUCGACGGUAAGCUCCAGCUUGCUGGGGUACACGAGUGGCGAACGGGUGAGUAACACGUGGGUGACCUGCCCUGCACUUCGGGAUAAGCCUGGGAAACUGGGUCUAAUACCGGAUAGGACCGCACCGUGAGGGUGUGGUGGAAAGUUUUUUCGGUGUGGGAUGGGCCCGCGGCCUAUCAGCUUGUUGGUGGGGUAAUGGCCUACCAAGGCGGCGACGGGUAGCCGGCCUGAGAGGGUGGACGGCCACAUUGGGACUGAGACACGGCCCAGACUCCUACGGGAGGCAGCAGUGGGGAAUAUUGCACAAUGGGCGGAAGCCUGAUGCAGCGACGCCGCGUGGGGGAUGACGGCCUUCGGGUUGUAAACUCCUUUCACCAUCGACGAAGGGUUUCUGACGGUAGAUGGAGAAGAAGCACCGGCUAACUACGUGCCAGCAGCCGCGGUAAUACGUAGGGUGCGAGCGUUGUCCGGAAUUACUGGGCGUAAAGAGCUCGUAGGUGGUUUGUCGCGUCGUCUGUGAAAUUCCGGGGCUUAACUCCGGGCGUGCAGGCGAUACGGGCAUAACUUGAGUACUGUAGGGGAGACUGGAAUUCCUGGUGUAGCGGUGAAAUGCGCAGAUAUCAGGAGGAACACCGGUGGCGAAGGCGGGUCUCUGGGCAGUAACUGACGCUGAGGAGCGAAAGCAUGGGGAGCGAACAGGAUUAGAUACCCUGGUAGUCCAUGCCGUAAACGGUGGGCGCUAGGUGUGGGUUCCUUCCACGGGAUCCGUGCCGUAGCUAACGCAUUUAGCGCCCCGCCUGGGGAGUACGGCC
rnacentral:rRNA from 1 species